GUGUUCGCUUCGGUAGCACGUAUACUAAAAAUCGGAAUGAUACAGAGAAGAUUAGGAUGGCCUCUGCGCAAGGAUGACACGCGAAUUCGUGAAGCAUUCCAUAUAAAA